UACGUAGGGUGCAAGCGUUGUCCGGAAUUAUUGGGCGUAAAGAGCUCGUAGGCGGUCUGUCGCGUCGGCUGUGAAAACCGGAGCUCAACUCCGGGCCUGCAGUCGAUACGGGCAAACUGGAGUGUUGCAGGGGAGACUGGAAUUCCUGGUGUAGCGGUGAAAUGCGCAGAUAUCAGGAGGAACACCGGUGGCGAAGGCGGGUCUCUGGGCAACAACGUGACGCUGGAG
rnacentral:rRNA from 1 species